GUGGGGAAUUUUGGACAAUGGGCGCAAGCCUGAUCCAGCAAUGCCGCGUGUGUGAAGAAGGCCUUCGGGUUGUAAAGCACUUUUGGCAGGAAAGAAAUAGCGCGUGCUAAUACCAUGCGCGAAUGACGGUACCUGCAGAAUAAGCACCGGCUAACUACGUGCCAGCAGCCGCGGUAAGACGUAGGGUGCAAGCGUUAAUCGGAAUUACUGGGCGUAAAGCGUGCGCAGGCGGUUUUGUAAGACAGGUGUGAAAUCCCCGGGCUCAACCUGGGAACUGCACUUGUGACUGCAAGGCUAGAGUGUGUCAGAGGGAGGUGGAAUUCCGCGGGUAGCAGUGAAAUGCGUAGAGAUGCGGAGGAACACCGAUGGCGAAGGCAGCCUCCUGGGAUAACACUGACGCUCAGGCACGAAAGCGUGGGGAGCAAACAGGAUUAGAAACCCCGGUAGUCC
rnacentral:rRNA from 1 species